CUUUGCCAGCAGGGAGGCUGGCGGGUCCGCCUGGAUGGGGCUGGCGGUGUGUCAGGCUCCCAGUGACGUGCAGGCCGAGCGAGCGCGACGUGUGGACGCGAGUGUGGCAGAAUCUGUGAACACGCGCGGCGUGCAUCGUGUCCUCAGUGUCUGUCACUAUAAUCCUCAUUCAGCUGAGAGAGCCCAACAGCAACAAUGCCCCAGCAGCAAAGCACACAUGGAACAUCAGAUCCUGGGUUCUAAUCCCAUCUCCAGUAGAAGGGCCAGGGCUCCUUGGAGAAAUGACUGAUUCUAGGACCGGGGCAGAAAAUAUACAAGCUGAGCCUGGACCAACUCGUAGUGCCAGAAAGCAAGGUCCCACCUGGUGGCCAGAGACCAACCACCCACCUCGGGCACUCCCAUGGCCACUGCCUCUCCUAGGCCCUGAGUCGGAGGACGGGUGAAAGGACCCCCAUUAGGGAAGCUGCACAGCCCCAGGGGUCAGGGCUGGUGAGCCAGGACAGGAGCUCCGGCCUCCUCAGAACUCCUGCCCACCGCGGGACAGAGAACCGACAGCACCACCCAUGCUCUUGGCAGGAUGUUCAAAGCCAUGGUUGAUGUAGGUGCUGCUGGCUGUGGAUGUCGGGGCCUGGUGGGUCGGGCAGGAGGCCACCCUGGCCCUGGCGGCCUCCUCCAUCUUCUGCUCCAGCACUAGAGCCACAUUGACAUCGGGCCCUGCAGAGGAACAGCCCCAGAGGCCCAAGAUCAGGGAGGCCACGUGCUGGGCAGGAGAUGG